rnacentral:rRNA from 1 species
AACGGUCUUUUAGGAGACAGUGGCGGACGGGUGAGUAACGCGUAAGAAUCUACCUUCAGGUUGGGGACAACCGCUGGAAACGGUGGCUAAUACCGAAUGUGCCGAGAGGUGAAAGGCUUGCUGCCUGAAGAAGAGCUUGCGUCUGAUUAGCUAGUUGGUAGUGUAAGAGACUACCAAGGCGACGAUCAGUAGCUGGUCUGAGAGGAUGAUCAGCCACACUGGGACUGAGACACGGCCCAGACUCCUACGGGAGGCAGCAGUGGGGAAUUUUCCGCAAUGGGCGAAAGCCUGACGGAGCAAUACCGCGUGAGGGAGGAAGGCUCUUGGGUUGUAAACCUCUUUUCUCAGGGAAGAACAGAAUGACGGUGCCUGAGGAAUAAGCAUCGGCUAACUCCGUGCCAGCAGCCGCGGUAAUACGGAGGAUGCAAGCGUUAUCCGGAAUGAUUGGGCGUAAAGGGUCCGCAGGUGGCAUUGUAAGUCUGCUGUUAAAGAGUUUGGCUCAACCAAAUAAGAGCAGUGGAAACUACAAAGCUAGAGUGUGGUCGGGGCAGAGGGAAUUCCUGGUGUAGCGGUGAAAUGCGUAGAUAUCAGGAAGAACACCAGUGGCGAAGGCGCUCUGCUAGGCCGAGACUGACACUGAGGGACGAAAGCUAGGGGAGCGAAUGGGAUUAGAUACCCCAGUAGUCCUAGCCGUAAACGAUGGAUACUAGGCGUAGCUCGUAUCGACCCGAGCUGUGCCG